rnacentral:misc_RNA from 1 species
GGGCCAGGUGCACUUGGAGCUAUUAUAUUGUCCUUAUGGCAUGACAAAUGGAUUCAGUAACCCUUUUGCCAAUAAUGUACCAUUGACUUCACUGGAGAAGGUUCUUAAAAGUGGAGUAGAAGCUGCCCAAAAUGGAGGUGAAAUCAACAGGAGGAAGGAUGUAAUAGUACGAGGGGUACUCUCUGUAACCGUGAUAUCAGCUGAGGAAGGAUGUAAUAGUACGAGGGGUACUCUCUGUAACCGUGAUAUCAGCUGAGGAUCUGGCCCCUACUGAUCUACUGGGGAAAGCUGAUCCAUAUGUUGUAGUUACAAUGAAGAAGACUGAAACAAAGAACAAAACCAGGGUUGUACCAGAAAGCUUAAAUCCAGUAUGGAAUCAGACUUUUGACUUUGUCGUUGAGGACGGAUUGCAUGAUAUGUUAAUUCUAGAAGUUUGGGACCAUGACACCUUCGGAAAGGAUUACAUGGGAAGGUGCAUAUUGACAUUGACAAGAGUACUAAUGGAAGGUGAAUAUAAAGAAACCUUUGAACUAGAUGGAGCUAAAUCAGGGAAACUGAACUUGCAUCUCAAAUGGGCACCACAGCCUAUAUACAGAGACUCCUAAUGAUUUAAUAUCAUAUGAUAUGUUGUUGUUUUUGUAAGAGUUGUACAGACACAAGUUUCUUCGAUUCUGUAUGUCGAUCGUAGACUAUAUGAAAAUUUGUAGAGUGAUAGUAGUACAUUUUUGUAGAUAAUUGUUCUGUUAAUGCUGAGUUGGCCUACUACAUAUGUAGUUUAGAGAGAAAAAGCAUUUUGCUUGGUUAAAAGGAAUUUAUGUAGAGAGGUGGCAUAAGGCAGCAGUUUCUUUUUGGAAAAAUUACAAGGUGUUGCAGCUUUUCA